CUUUGUAGGAGAACAUGACAAUCAUGGAUUUUUAGUCUUGUUGGGUAUAAAAUACCCCCCAGCCGAAGUUCAUGACAGGAAUGACCCUCCGGGGAUUCUACCGACUUCCGACCUUCGGCAACAUCUCUCCAAACCUCUCUGACAGUCGAGCCUCCGCAACACUCCCAAGUUUUGCCGACGGAUAAGCCCCCACCAGUGUCCACCAGAUUCUUCGCGACGGACGGACUCCACCCAAGUUUCCACGAUGAUCGACCACCUUCUAGACCCCGCUCGGACUCCUAUGGGAGCCGGACU
rnacentral:lncRNA from 1 species